rnacentral:rRNA from 1 species
GACGAACGCUGGCGGCGUGCCUAAUACAUGCAAGUAGAACGCUGAAGGAGGAGCUUGCUUCUCUGGAUGAGUUGCGAACGGGUGAGUAACGCGUAGGUAACCUGCCUGGUAGCGGGGGAUAACUAUUGGAAACGAUAGCUAAUACCGCAUAACAGUAGAUAUCGCAUGAUAUCUACUUGAAAGGUGCAAUUGCAUCACUACCAGAUGGACCUGCGUUGUAUUAGCUAGUUGGUGAGGUAACGGCUCACCAAGGCGACGAUACAUAGCCGACCUGCGAGGGUGAUCGGCCACACUGGGACUGAGACACGGCCCAGACUCCUACGGGAGGCAGCAGUAGGGAAUCUUCGGCAAUGGACGGAAGUCUGACCGAGCAACGCCGCGUGAGUGAAGAAGGUUUUCGGAUCGUAAAGCUCUGUUGUAAGAGAAGAACGAGUGUGAGAGUGGAAAGUUCACACUGUGACGGUAUCUUACCAGAAAGGGACGGCUAACUACGUG